UGCGGAACAAUGUUUUGCAAUUGGAUUGAGAACAACGUACAAACCUUAUCGAUAAACAAUUGGAGGGCAAGUCUGGUGCCAGCAGCCGCGGUAAUUCCAGCUCCAAUAGCGUAUAUUAACGUUGUUGCAGUUAAAAAGCUCGUAGUUGAAAUGAAGGGUAGUUGUGUAAUGAAUACAUUCGUGUAUUUUGUUAUUCUACUACCCUCCUUCUAAAUUCGAUAUAUGAGUAUUAAUUUACUUGUAUAUGGUUUUAGACUUUUACUGUGAGAAAAUUAGAGUGUUCAAAGCAGGCAUUUGCUUGAAUAUAUUAGCAUGGAAUAAUCAUGUAUGAUUUUCAUGAUGUAUUUGAUUGGUUUGGUUCAUGAGAAUAAGAUUAAAAGGGACAGUUGGGGGUAUUCAUAUUCAAUAGUCAGAGGUGAAAUUCUCGGAUUUAUGGAAGAUGAA
rnacentral:rRNA from 1 species